rnacentral:rRNA from 1 species
GCUUGAUUGCAAGACAUACAGGUCGAGCAAGGAUGAAAAUCGGACUUAGUGAUCCGGUGGUUCUGCGUGGAAGGGCCAUCGCUCAACGGAUAAAAGCUACCCUGGGGAUAACAGGCUUAUCUCCCCCAAGAGUCCACAUCGACGGGGAGGUUUGGCACCUCGAUGUCGGCUCAUCACAUCCUGGGGCUGUAGUAGGUCCCAAGGGUUGGGCUGUUCGCCCAUUAAAGUGGUACGCGAGCUGGGUUCAGAACGUCGUGGGACAGUUCGGUCCCUAUCCGUCGCAGGCGUAGGAAAUUUGAGAAGACCUGUCCUUAGUACGAGAGGACCGGGAUGGACGUACCUCUGGUGUACCAGUUGUUCUGCCAAGGGCAUGGCUGGGUAGCUAUGUACGGAAUGGAUAAGCGCUGAAAGCAUCUAAGCGCGAAGCCAACUUCAAGAUAAGAUUUCCCACCGCAAGGGUAAGACCCCAGAAAGACUAUCUGGUUGAUAGGUCGAAGGUGUAAGUGCAGCAA